ensembl:lncRNA
AUGAACUGGCAGACAACUGAAAACCAGAACCUCAGAACCUCACUCAGUUUCUUCCUGUGUCUGUCUGUGUCUCUGUCUGUGUGUCUCUGUGUGUGUCUCUCUGUGUGUCUCUCUGUGUGUCCCUGUCUGUCUGUGUCUCUGUGUGUGUCUCUGUGUGUGUCUCUGUGUGUCUCUGUCUGUCUGUGUCUCUGUGUGUGUCUCUGUGUGUGUCUCUCUGUGUGUCUCUCUGUGUGUCCCUGUCUGUCUGUGUCUCUGUGUGUGUCUCUGUGUGUCUCUGUGUGUCUCUGUGUGUGUCUCUGUGUGUGUCUCUCUGUGUGUCUCUCUGUGUGUCUCUCUGUGUCUCUGUAUGUGUCUCUGUGUGUGUCUCUCUGUGUCUCUGUGUGUGUCUCUGUCUGUCUGUGUCUCUGUCUGUGUCUCUGUGUGUGUCUCUGUGUGUGUCUCUGUGUGUGUCUGUGUGUGUCUCUGUGUGUGUCUCUGUGUGUGUCUGUGUGUCUCUGUGUGAACAGCUCCUCCUCAGAUCCCUCUCUUCAGUUGAACCCGGAGCAGCCCAGCAGCAGGACAGAGACUAAAACCAGUUUAAACUCUGGGGAGGCUGAAGAGCUUUUGUGCUCAGAUGACUGUAAUGUAAAUCUGGACAAGCCGGUUCUGAGGAAGUUUAAAGACGCCUUCCUACGCAGCCUGGCAGCCACACAGUGGGAGAAGAGGAGGAGGAGUAAACACCUCAGUCAGUCCAGGCUGUCCUCGUCUGAUGAUGUCAUAACUCCCAGCCCAGCAGCAGAGCAGGGCAGCAGUGCAGCAGCAGAGUCCCAGCCUGGUUCCAGCAGUUUGGACACAAACGGACACUCAGGGCUCCAGAAUGACCCAGGUUAG